GUCGCAGGUGUAGUGGUUCAUCACAUCUCCUUUACAAGAGUUCCUCCCUUUCGAGAAAGAGAAGAAUUAGGCAGCGGAGAAGGUCAUGGGUUCGAUCCCCAUAGGAACU